rnacentral:tRNA from 1 species
GGGGUGUAGCUCAGUGGUAGAGUGAGUGCUUAGUGUGCACGAGGUCCUGGGUUCAAUCCCCAAGUACCACCA